UGCUCGAGUGGCGAACGGGUGAGUAACACGUGGGUGAUCUGCCCUGCACUUCGGGAUAAGCCUGGGAAACUGGGUCUAAUACCGGAUAGGACCAUCGUUUAGUGUCGGUGGUGGAAAGUUUUUCGGUGUGGGAUGAGCUCGCGGCCUAUCAGCUUGUUGGUGGGGUAAUGGCCUACCAAGGCGUCGACGGGUAGCCGGCCUGAGAGGGUGUACGGCCACAUUGGGACUGAGAUACGGCCCAG
rnacentral:rRNA from 1 species